rnacentral:rRNA from 1 species
UGGGGAAUAUUGCGCAAUGGGGAAAGCCCUGACGCAGCAACGCCGCGUGCGGGAUGAAGGCUUUCGGGUUGUAAACCGCUUUCAGCAGGAAAGAUAAUGACGGUACCUGCAGAAGAAGCCCCGGCUAACUACGUGCCAGCAGCCGCGGUAAUACGUAGGGGGCAAGCGUUAUCCGGAUUCAUUGGGCGUAAAGCGCGCGCAGGCGGGUUGCUAAGCGGGACCUCUAAUCUUGGGGCUCAACCUCAAGCCGGGUCCCGAACUGGCAGCCUCGAGUGCGGUAGGGGUAAGCGGAAUUCCCGGUGUAGCGGUGGAAUGCGCAGAUAUCGGGAAGAACACCGAUGGCGAAGGCAGCUUACUGGGCCGUCACUGACGCUGAGGCGCGAAAGCUAGGGGAGCGAACAGGAUUAGAUACCC